GCCCUGUUCGUUUAAUCGGCAGGACUCCCGCUCUGGACGCAGAGACAACGGGCAAUGGAGGUUCGACUCCUCUA
rnacentral:tRNA from 1 species